CUAACACAUGCAAGUCGAGCGGGGACAUACGACGGAUAGGAAGUUUUCGGAUGGAAUUGAAGAUGUAUUGUUCUAGCGGCGGACGGGUGAGUAACGCGUGAGCAACCUGUCCCUUACAGGGGGAUAACACAGCGAAAGUUGUACUAAUACCGCAUAAGACCACGGGGAGACAUCUUCCAGGGGUCAAAGGAGCAAUCCGGUAAGGGGUGGGCUCGCGUCCGAUUAGAUAGUUGGUGAGGUAACGGCCCACCAAGUCGACGAUCGGUAGCCGACCUGAGAGGGUGAUCGGCCACAUUGGGACUGAGACACGGCCCAAACUCCUACGGGAGGCAGCAGUGGGGAAUAUUGGGCAAUGGGGGAAACCCUGACCCAGCAACGCCGCGUGAGGGAAGAAGGUUUUCGGAUCGUAAACCUCUGUCCUUGGUGAAGAGGAAGAGACGGUAGCCAAGGAGGAAGCCCCGGCUAACUACGUGCCAGCAGCCGCGGUAAUACGUAGGGGGCAAGCGUUGUCCGGAAUGAUUGGGCGUAAAGGGCGCGUAGGCGGCCCGGUAAGUCUGAAGUGAAAGUCCUGGUUUUAAGUUGGGAAUUGCUUUGGAUACUGUCGGGCUUGAGUGCAGGAGAGGUAAGUGGAAUUCCCAGUGUAGCGGUGAAAUGCGUAGAGAUUGGGAGGAACACCAGUGGCGAAGGCGACUUACUGGACUGUAACUGACGCUGAGGCGCGAAAGUGUGGGGAACAAACAGGAUUAGAUACCCUGGUAUUCCACACUGUAAAAUAUGAAUGCUAGGUGUAGGGGGUAUCAGCCCUU
rnacentral:rRNA from 1 species